GUGAUUAUAGCUCAAUAGGUAGAGCACCAGGUUGUGAUCCUGGGUGUCGCGGGUUCGAUUCCCGCUAGUCACC
rnacentral:tRNA from 3 species